GCUGUUGUCCUUUUCCAGCAGCAGCGGUGGACUCCAGGCGUCGGAGCCCCUGCCCACCCCGGCCUCUCCAGACACGCAGGUGGGCCUGGAGCAAAAAUGAAGCUGGCCCUGUGUGGCUGAGAAAGGAGGGCAGGCCGGGGUCCAGAUGGGCAGAUACAGAGGAGAAAAUAAUUACUCUACAGCCUUCCUUGAGUGAGCGCAUCCACCUCCUUGGCUUUAACAAUCACGUCUGAGUCAGAAACCCCAGGAAGGCCUUCGGCUUGGAACUGAAUUUCCACCGGCUUUUCCCAAACCUGUUUCUCUCCUGUACUCCCUGACGCAGCACGCAGCACCUGCCACCUGAGACACCUAGGAGUUAUCUCAGACUCCCACUGCCAUAAUCCGUGUUCAUUGGAUGUCAGUCAGGCACUGAGCACUCACUCACCACACAUUCUCAUUCUGUUAUCCUGGCUAGCCUCGGAUGUGGGUGUUUAUUAUCCCUAUUUUAUGGCCAGGGAAUAAAGGUUCAGAGAAGUUAAGCAACUUGCCCAAGGUCAUACAAUUAGUAACCAGCAAAGGUGGGUUGUUUAAUUCUAACAUCCGUACUACUAAACUUUGUGUUGGUUACCCCAACCAGUCAUGAAAUUUUGCAGGUCAUUUCCUAAAAGUUCCUGACCUUGUUGCCAUUUCCCAAGCCUGCAUUUGUUCAGCCCUCGGCCCCGGUCACCAUGAGCAACCCAGCAGCCACAAGCCCCUUCCCCUGCCCAUCCUCUAAAGAGAUCCAUCUAAGGCUCCAAACCACCCUACGAUUGUCUGGCUUACAACCUCCCAUGGCUCCUGAGGGCUCCCAUCGCCCUCAGGAUAACAUGUGAUCUCCUGAGCCCCUUCUUGCCCGCACUGCCCCUCCAGCUGCUCUCCCUACAGGGGCUGUUCCUCCACCUCUCUGAGACUCGCACUUAUUGUUGUAGCUACCAGCCUCUUUGUGAAAUCUUUCCCGACUGUAUUUUUGUCCAUUACCCAAGUGAAAGUAAGCUGGUCGUCUGGUGCUCCUUGCAUCUAUCUCUGUUCAGCCUUCAUCCUCUGUCCUGUGCUCCCCCAUUAGACCGUGAACCACUCAAAAGCAGCUUCUGUGUUCUGUCCUCCAACCAGCGACUGAAGGAACCAGCCUCUGCUUAUACAGAAACUCCUUCCAAGUGCCACGUCCUGUGCCAAGCGCUCUGCACACAUCAUCUCAUUUAAACCCCACAUCCAUUGUGGGCCGUCAGGAUCAUUAAAACCCACUGUAUAGGCCUCAAGGUUGCCAGUCUAUCAACUAAUGAACCACUGUCGAUGCUCAAUAGACAUCUUUCCAAUGGAUAAUUGAACCCCACACACCGGGCCUGUGAGCACCCACUGAAGACAUCCCAGGGAUUCUUUAACGGCUGCUUCCCUCCCUUCCACUAGCCUUGGGCUGCGGUGAUUUCUAGCACUUGACUGAGUUUUCUUGGCUUUAACCUCACUUUUUGGUAGACCAGAGUCAUGGCAGUGGUGACAGCAUUUCCUUCUUCCCCAAAUUUUUUUAUUGUGGUAAAUAUAUACGUGACCUAGAAUUUACUCUCUUAACCAGUUGUAAACACACAGUUCAGUGCUGUAGAAUCACCCACAAUAGCGUGCAAGCAACCCCAGCACCCAUCCCUAGAGCUCUUCUCAUCUCCUGAAACUGAAACUCUGGGCCUGUUAAACCAGAGUUCCCCAGCCCCUGUCUCUUUGUGAUUUGAUAGGACUCCUCCGGGGGGCGUGGAAGCAGGGCCUUGGGGCCUAGAAAUGGGAUAUGCGGCUCA